UGGCCGCGUCGGAGCCGUAAUGCGCGGCAGACGUGAUGCGCAGAUCAGCUCUCACAUCACUGUAUCUGCUGUUAAAAAUGAACAAUCCAUUCAUCAUAUCAUCGUGCAAAACUAAGAAUUAGUCUAAUUAGAAUCAUUGUAAUGUGACGAUCGGGUGCGGAUCGGGUCGGUUAUCUAAAUCAGAGAAAAAUAUCGAGGUGCGGGUGGGUGGAAUAUUCGGGUGACGUUUGAGCUCAUCCGCGCAUCUCUACCCAGUAACCCACACCACUCCAGUCCAUCAGUUUACAUCUUGUGAAGCGAAAAGCUGUGUAUUUGUAAGAAACAAAUACAUCAUCAAGGUUUUUAACUUUAAAAACAUUGCUUUUGGCCAAAAUACUAUGGAAAAUACAUAAUCCAUAAUAACGCUUCCUCCAGUCAAAAAGUCCAUCACCUGUUGUCCUCUCACAUCAAAAUCCACCAACAUGAUUGUUUACAACUGUUUUGGACUGUUUUUGCAUGCAAACGUUGCUUGACCUUGUUGACUUUUCACUGGAGAAAGCAAUAUUACGGAUAGAAGCAAUGGUUUUAAGUUAAAAACGUCUUAAUGAUGAAUUUGUUUUUUAUAAACAUGCAAUUUUUCACUUCACAAGACUUCAGUCAAUGGACUGGACUGGUGUGGAUUACUUGUGGAUUAUUGUGAUGUUUUUAUCAGCUGUUUGGACUCUCAUUCUGACGGCACCCAUUCACUGCAGAGGAUGCAUUGGUGAGCAAGAGAUGUCAUGCUAAAUUUCUCUAAAUCUGUUCUGAUGAAGAAACAAACUUAUUUACAUCUUGGAUCACCUGAGGAAUGGUUAGCAUCACAAUAUGCGUUACAUGCUGUUACUUUGAGAGCUAAUAAUGUGAGGACAAAAACAUCAACCUGUUAAAACACUCUGAAUAUACUGAAUGGCUGUCAAUGGAGACAGAUGUUUUUAGCAGCCAGAUGUUGCAGUUAUGACAUCUACCAGCAGGGGCAAACUGAGCCAACUGCAUUAGCAGAAAAGCCCUCAGCUAGUUUUGAAGAGACACCUGCAUUUGACUAGGGAAUCCAAGGCGUUUUAUUGGCACAUCAACACAGGUUUGUGUAAACAAAAAAAAAUUCAAAUGUAAAAGCAACAGUGUUUGUUUGUUCUGAAUCCUUUAUGUGAACCUCCAGAUGUUAAUGAUGAUCUACAUAACAGGGUUGUGAAAAAAUUCAGAAUUGGCUCCAUUUCAGUUCACGAGUGGGAACUGGAAUUGGCCACAUCCUACAGGAAGUUCAUUGGAAUGACAGGAAGAGGAAUUUACUGAAAUCCAAUUCAUCACAAGUAGUGCAUUCUGGGAAAAGAAGUGUUUUUCCACCCUGGUUAACAGUUAAUUCAUUAAAUAUGAUGGAUUAUAUGCUCUUUUGUUUAGUUUAUAUAUAUUUAAAACCUAUCUAUCUAUCUAUCUAUCUCAAAAGUUAUAUUUCUUUAUAUAGAUGUGGAUUUGAUAAUUGUGAAUAGUGUAAUACAAUUUUUUUUGUGAAAUGACCGUUGUUAUUGAAAUAUACAAUUUUUAACAUAGCAUUUUCAUUUCCAGUUAAUUUUACUGUAAA